GACGAACGCUGGCGGCGUGCCUAACACAUGCAAGUCGAACGGUGUCAGCCCUUCGGGACUGACUUAGUGGCGAACGGGUGAGUAACACGUGAGGAACCUGCCUCUCAGUGGGGGACAACAGUUGGAAACGACUGCUAAUACCGCAUAAUGUAUUCGAAGGGCAUCCUUUGGAUACCAAAGAUUUAUUGCUGAGAGAUGGCCUCGCGUCUGAUUAGAUAGUUGGUGGGGUAACGGCUCACCAAGUCGACGAUCAGUAGCCGGUCUGAGAGGAUGAACGGCCACAUUGGGACUGAGAUACGGCCCAGACUCCUACGGGAGGCAGCAGUGGGGAAUAUUGGGCAAUGGGGGAAACCCUGACCCAGCAACGCCGCGUGAAGGAAGAAGGCCUUCGGGUUGUAAACUUCUUUUACCAGGGACGAACACAAUGACGGUACCUGGAGAAAAAGCAACGGCUAACUACGUGCCAGCCGCCGCAGUAAUAC
rnacentral:rRNA from 1 species